CCUACGGGGGGCAGCAGUGAGGAAUAUUGGUCAAUGGGCGGAAGCCUGAACCAGCCAAGUAGCGUGCGGGAUGAAGGCCCUACGGGUCGUAAACCGCUUUUGCACGGGGAUAACACCCUCCACUUGUGGAGGUCUGCAGGUACCGUGCGAAUAAGGGCCGGCUAAUUCCGUGCAAGCAGCAGCGGUAAUACGGAAGGCCCGAGCGUUAUCCGGAUUCAGUGGGAUUAAAGAGAGAGUAGGCGGGCGUUCAAGGCAGCUGAAAAAUCGGGCGGCUCAACCGCGCCCCGCAGUUGAAACUGGACACCUUGAGUUCACAACAGGCAGGCGGAAGUCGUGGUGUAGCGGUGAAAUGCAUAGAUAUCACGCAGAACUCCGAUUGCGAAGGCAGCAUACCGGCGCCCGACUGACGCUGAGGUACGAAAGCGUGGGGAUCGAACAGGAUUAGAUACCCUGGUAGUC
rnacentral:rRNA from 1 species